AUCCAGAUUCGUUGAAGUUAAGAACUCAGAUUUUUCUUAAAACAAUGUCUUCUUUCUGAUUGGCCAAGACUAGCUCUCAACCCAGUUUCUUAGCAGCCACAUUCAAAAUGGCGGACGAGCUGCCACGAGUUCAGGACUGAAAGAACCGAUGUCGCACUGAAUAGUCAGUUUAUUUUGACAAUUGUGUUACAUUUGAUGACGGAUGAUGAUGACCAAUCCUAAAAAUCGUCUAAUCUUCACUUUGUACAUCGGAUGUGUUCAGUAACGUCUUUCUACCAUGUUGAAAUUCUAAUGUUUACCAGGAACCCCUCGACAGAAGAUGUAAAACAGUUGGAUUCCCUCUUGAACUCAAGACGUGUUGCGGAAACGGGAAGGGCAAGAAAUGGCCACUAAGAAAUGUAGGAACAAAGAGGACUGUAUGACUGAUGAAAUGAAAAUGUUUCAAAGAAUUACUACGGAGGAUGCUACGCCUAAACAAGUGAGUAAUAGGGCAUAAAGAUGGUUUCUGGGAAAACGUCGUGGUCAAUUUAGCAAUGGCAAAGAAGAAGUUUGAAAGACUGCUCAUUCACAAACUCAUUUGAGCCAUAUUUAAGGAACUUCUUCAUGGACUUACUCAGCUAUUGUUCUCAACUGAGGCCCUUGACCUAUUGUCAGAAUUAAAAAAAAAAAAAAAGAUUUUGAGUUAUAAAAAAAACAUUAUUACUUCAUGAUCUCGUGGUCGACUCAAAUGCAUUUUGUUGAAAGUGAAUCAUAAGAAUAAUUUAAAUGUUUCAAGAGAGAAUAAAGGCCAUUAUUUUCUCUUGACUAUUUCAAGUGUUAUUGUCAGUGAGAAAAUUUCCCAGAAAGUGGAGACAUGGAGUAGCCUAUGUGUAGCCGUACCCUACCCUCGCCAAGUACGACUACACGUAGGCUAGGCGUGGAUUAACCAAUUUUGAAGAAACUUACUGCCGAGGAUGGCCUUAAUAAGAUGAUCGAAAAGCCUAAAAGCUGUUGGCCUUAUAAAAAUAAUCUUAUUUCUAUUCAGAAGAGUCCAAAAUAAGCGCGUAAACUUGUGGAAUAUUGGGAAAACUGCUCUAAAGUUCUGGGUGCUUUCGAUUGGUAAAUCCGGAUUAAAAUUUUGAAAUAGAGAUAACGGAUUUUGUUGUAAGAAAUGAAGAGCGAAAACGGAUUUCGACGCUGAAAAAUCUGUCCUUUUUUUCUUUUUAUAGCCAACGGUUAACCUCAGUGAGACCCCUCUUAGAGGAGAUCCUUUUUGGAUUUCCCGGAAAAACGCAAAACAUAAAAAUUCAUGAGAUCCGGAGCUGGAUCUCUUAAUUGAGAUCCACUUUGAGAAUGGAUUUCUCAGCGUUGAAAAUCGUUUUUGGAUUUCAUGUUUUACCGAAAAUUCCGAAUUCCCGAUUUCAAAAUCAAAAUCCAGAUUCGCAACAGUUAAGCACCCGGAUUUCUCUGAACACGGCGUCUUCUUUCUGAUUGGCCUAGACUUGCUUUCGACCCAGUUUCUUAGCAGCCACGUUGAAAAUGGCGGACGAGCUGCCGUGAAUUUAGAACUGAAUCAAUGUCGCACUGAAGAGUCGGUUUGUUUCGACAAUAUUGUGGUACAUUUGAUGACGGAUGAUGACGAAUGAUGAAGACCUGUUCUAAAAACUCGUCUGAUCUUCACCUUGUACAUCGGAUGUGUUAAGUAACGUCUUUCUACCAUGAUGAAAUUCUAAUGUUUACUAGGAACCCUUCGAAAGGUUCUACAGACAAGUUACAGAGCAUAGUAAAUAAGUACCAUUGGAAUCACUCACUAUUCUGGAAAGUUGAUUGAUUAACACUGUGAGCUUGAAGAACCACAACAGACAGAAUUGCCCUUAUGAUACUUUCACAGAAGAUGAAAAACAGUUGGAUUCCCUUUAGGACAUGUAUAAAUCAGCUCAGGACGUGUUGCAGAAACAGGAAGAGCAAGAAAUGGCCAUUAAGAAAUGUAGGAACAAAGUGGAUGACUGAUGAAAUGACAAUGUUUCAAAGAAUUAUUACAAAGGAUGCUACACCUAAACAAGGCAUAAAGAUGGUUUCUGGGAAAACGUCGUGGUCAAUUUAGCAAUGGCAAAGAAGAAGCUUGAAAAAUGCUAAUACACAAAUUCAUUUGAGCCAUAUUUGAGAAACUUCUUCAUAGACUUCUACAGCUUUUGUUCUCAACUGAGGCCCUUGACCUAGUGUCAGAGUUAAAAAAAAGGUUUUGCUUUAUAAAUAAAUCAUUAUUACUUCAUGAUC